UAAACUUGUUGUCUCACAAGUGAUAGGCAAGAGCUCUACCACUGAGCUAUAACCCCAGCCUGAUUUUCUUUUUUUUGUAAGUUAAUUUUUUUUUUAAAGGACCAUUAAAACACUUGGACUGAUCUUAGGAAUGUGGAAAGACCAAGUUUCCUGAAUGUACUCAUAAAGAAAACUAAACAGCCUGGGGCUGUGUGAUUAUUAGCUCUUCUGGGACUUUUCUGAACACAUAGUAUCACUCUAAGGGUAAAAUCACUUUUUCAAGCAGAAUUCCCUUAUAGCAGACAGAAUGUUCUGGGGGGUCAAAUGAGGUUGACUAGUACCCAGCCUGUAUAUUUUAUAGUACUAGAGUAGGGACCAAGGGUAAUCCGUUGUAAAAUUCAAAUAAGCUAUUUAUUGUAUUAUUUAUAAAGAUAUAACCUGAAUAGAAUCAGAUUGCUGAGUAGGUAGCUUAUCAUUCCUUUAAAGAGAAAAUUUUCCUAAUCCACUUAAUUAUUUGAUUUCCAAAAAUUUGUUUGGCAUCUAAUGUUUAAGGGAACCAAUCCAUUUUAUACAGCAGAACACAUCUAUGUGGAAGAUUAUAGCAUCACCUUAGUUUAGGAAAUGAAUAAGAAAAAACAAGCUACAGUUAUAUUGAAUUUGCAGGCCACUGUAAAUAUAAUAGAAGAUAUUUAUUUUAUGUGGGCAUUACAUGAGGAAUGGGGAUUGAACUCAAGGGCACUCGACCACUCAGCC
rnacentral:lncRNA from 1 species